GGUGUUUCUUUUUCUCUUAAAGGGGUCAUGAACUGCCUUUUUCUAUUAUUUUGUACUGUUGUCUGAGGUCCCCUUAUAAUAUUAUCAAGAUUUUAACAUCAAAACAUCAUCAUUUAGAAGU